CAAAUGUUUGUUGUGGGCAUGUUUCUGAAAUUCGAUCUACGUUAAUAAACCAAGUAUGUAGUAGUGGUAACUCUCGCUAAGAAAUAGUUUAUUAUGGAAAUGUAAAAUUUGAGUUUCGUCUGACUUGUAUUUGUGAACAUA